GUUUUUUGUAGAGCUGUUUGUUGUCCAGAAAGAACAGGCGUCGGACACUUCUUCUCCACGGGUUGCGGUCGAUGCUUAGUCGCGAUUGCCUUCCUCCAAUACAAGUCCUUCUGAGGCGCGGAUUGGUACAUGGAUAAUUUACUGUGCUUCGACCGGACUUUGGGCAUCCUUUUACCGGAAAGUGAAACGUUCGAGCCAACAGCGAGCUGAGGCCGUAAUAAUUUUCACCGAUCGGACGUGCAGACAAUGGGAAAAAUAGAAGCGGAAAACCUAUUCGAAGCUCCAAGUAUUUGUCACCAUUUAAAAAUAUUCG